rnacentral:rRNA from 1 species
GAUCAUGGCUCAGGAUGAACGCUAGCGACAGGCUUAACACAUGCAAGUCGAGGGGCAGCGAGGGAGUGGCAACACUUCUGUCGGCGACCGGCGCACGGGUGAGUAACGCGUAUGCAACCUGCCCUUCACAGGGGGAUAACCGGGAGAAAUUCCGACUAAUACCGCAUACGUCCUUUGGGGGCAUCCCCGGGGGAUAGAAUAUAGUGGUAGAAG